GUUGGCUCCGAGAUACCAUAAACCCAACCGUAACUGUUAGGAGUUCAUCACCAUCUAACCGUAAAUUGGUUUUACAAGUUUACAAUGCUUUGAAAAAAAAUCAAUCUUUGGUUGGGUAGAUCAUGAUCUCCAUCAUGAGGUGGCGCCCAUCUAUUGGAAUGUGACGUCCCAAUAAUAGCCUUCUUAUUUAAGGGCGCUUGUCAGUGAAGUCCUUUAUUUGCAUACCUAAUACGAAGUUGGGCCGUUUCUUGUAUGCUGGUGGGCGCAAUACAUGACAUCUACUAGUUCUCCGGGGACUAUACCGGAGUGGUGAUGGGCAAGCAGUCUUAUCAAUGGAAACGGUGAGCAAGUUAAAAAAUUACAAAGGUGCGGUAAACUGGUUAUUGCACUUUCAAAAUGGUAAAUUUAUAAACUCUUCUCCUUGUCAAUGGUUCAAGCAAGACACCAACAAAAACCUACACCCUAAAUGUUCAACUGCUCAAGCUAAACAGAGCCAGGCUUUACAAGUCAGUCAGCCGAGGACAUUACUUAUAUGUACAAGGUACAUAUCAAAACUUCCCUAAUGGAAGAAAAAAACAUAGCUGGCCGGCCGGAUCCAGUUUUUUCAAAAUGGACAUCAGAUGCGUAGAGAGAGAAUAAAUAUGUACAGUUGUUGGGUGUGUCAGCCUUGGGUGUACCAACGUCCGUUCGAUUUCUAUUAGCUCCUCCAUCUCGAGGUUGAGGUUUUUUGAAAUACUUCUCAUUGAAAGACUCGGCUACUGCAGCAUGCUUUUCCUUAACAAAAUUCUCC